rnacentral:rRNA from 1 species
CGGCGUGCCUAACACAUGCAAGUCGAACGGAGUGUUGAGAGCUUGCUUUAACACUUAGUGGCGGACGGGUGAGUAAUGCGUGAGCAACCUGCCUUCAGAGGGGACAACAGUUGGAAACGACUGCUAAUACCGCAUAACGUAUUUUGGGGGCAUCCCCGGGAUACCAAAGGAGCAAUCCGCUGAAAGAUGGGCUCACGUCUGAUUAGCUAGUUGGUGGGGUAACGGCUCACCAAGGCUGCGAUCAGUAGCCGGACUGAGAGGUUGAACGGCCACAUUGGGACUGAGAUACGGCCCAGACUCCUACGGGAGGCAGCAGUGGGGAAUAUUGGGCAAUGGGCGAAAGCCCUGACCCAGCAACGCCGCGUGAAGGAAGAAGGUCUUCGGAUUGUAAACUUCUUUUAUGAGGGACGAAGGACGUGACGGUACCUCAUGAAUAAGCCACGGCUAACUACGUGCCAGCCGCGGC